GAAUGCUGCAUUCCCUUCUCAGCCUCCUUUUCCUGCGGAACACACAUCGCUAAACCACGUACACACUUGUGUACCAAGGAAUAAAGCCACCGAAUCCAGGAAUUAACCCUGACAUAUGGAAGGGAAAACCAGACCAUUCGACAAGAACAGGUGCACACGUCUAUACCCCACUUCCAACAGCAGACCUAGACAGAGGCCGAGCAAGCAGCAGGAGAGAGUCUCCCGCUGUACCCUAGACCCA